GGAGGCGAGCCGCUCUUCGACCACUUCGGGUCUCUUUAUUUACGCCUCGGUAGAACGACGCACUCCAUCAAUGCUCGGCCGCGGCUCCGCUCAUCUCUCUCGCGUGCGUCCAGGUUUUCCAAUGUAGAGGAAUUAGUUGGAGGCAGCAGCUGUAUAAUUUGCAAGAAGAUCUAAGGUGAUAUACCUAUGAUUUUCUUGCAAGUUAUGCAAUUGCUGCCUCAAGCUCGUCGUUUCCCUUUGCCAGGCCUGUAGAUCAGUAAAUUAAACUUAAAUGCCACGGUAUGAUUUCUUUUUGACGAAUACAUUAAUUAGCAGAAUAAUAUAUAUUUCAGUUGAAUACUACAUGUUGCAGCCCGAAAAGAAUCAUUCCUCUUUAGUGGGGUUCUCUAGAAAAAGUUAAAGAAUCAUAUUACAUGAAACAAUAUAACUCCAUUUAUUUACUACUUGAGUUGGAUCAAUGUUAAAAAAAGGAAAUGUCCAUGAAUUGGAAUGCCAAAAAGGAUAAUACAUGCUAAAGAAUUGCUUAAUUUUUUUUAUUUUUUAUGAAUCUCACUUCAAACUGAAUGAAUAUUGUUUUCGCGCUUUGGUAAAUUGCAUGGAUUUAUAUGCAUGCAAUUCUAUCAGAACUCAACCUUUGCGCUUGACUUGAGCCCGCUCAUGUGGUGAGAUGGGCUCAUCUUAUAAAUUGAUAUGCAUGGUAAAAUACUGCCCCGAUACACCAAUAUUCAUAAGGUGCUAUAUAUUUGUAGACACAAUUAGAUACAAUUCACAAUCAAUCUACUAUGGUUAAUUUUACUAAGUUUUCUCACAAUUAUGAGGAAUAAUUGAAUAAUUUGACAUAAAUUUUCUUAUUUUUCUAUAAAAUAUUUUCUAAGACUGAGAAAAACUGAAUUUUCCUGAAACAAAAGUUUUGCUCGCGCGUUGAUAGUAAAUAUUGUGAUUUUCAUCCCGUAAAAUAACUUACAAAUCAGCUUGCAGGAUCAGACCAUUUAUUCAUCCAAAACAAAAAUACCUUCACUUCCGCAGACGAAGACGUAAUCAAAUGCUGUUCCUCUUUUGAUGCGGUGUAUCGGUCGAUCACAGAUUUCAUGCUGAUAUAUUCAGAAGUAACCCCAAAAAAAAAAUUAGAAUGAACAUAAUUUAUUUACUGACCAAGAUCUGCAAGAUAAAAUUUUUCAGUGAGUUACUACGUUAGGGAUGUCAUAGAUCAUGAUUCAUUAGCCACAUGAUUACUUGCAUAAAAGAGCUGCUCUAUCUGGUAAGGAGAAAAAGAGUGAGGAGAAGAUGGGGAAGAACCUGGUGUUUGAGAACUCAUAGAGCCUGCCGGUGCUGGAGAAGACAGCGACACCAACCUGGGCGUCGCAGAGGAUGGCGAGCUCCUUAGCCUUCUUCAGCAAUCCGUUCCUCCUCUUCGAGAAGGUCACCUGUCGGCUCGUCGCGUCGUCGAUUCUUCGGAUCACUAUCUUCCCUCUUCCCAUGAUCUGCAGAACACACCUGAUCCGGCAAUGAAACUACGGAAAA